ACGGAGGAUCCGAGCGUUAUCCGGAUUUAUUGGGUUUAAAGGGUGCGCAGGCGGAUAAAUAAGUCAGUGGUGAAAUCCUACGGCUCAACUGUGGAACUGCCAUUGAUACUGUUUAUCUUGAGUAUAGUUGGAGUGGGCGGAAUGUGUCAUGUAGCGGUGAAAUGCUUAGAUAUGACACAGAACACCGAUCGCGAAGGCAGCUCACUAAGCCAUAACUGACGCUCAGGCACGAAAGCGUGGGGAUCAAACAGGAUUAGAUACCCUGGUAGUCCACGCCGUAAACGAUGAUUACUCGAUGUUGGCGAUACACUGUCAGCGUCUGAGCGAAAGCAUUAAGUAAUCCACCUGGGGAGUACGGUCGCAAGAUUG
rnacentral:rRNA from 1 species